rnacentral:tRNA from 1 species
CCCCGGGUGGCUCAGACCGUAAAGUGUCUGCCUGCAGUGCGGGAGACCCAGGUUCGAUCCCUGGGUCGGGAA